AAAAUAUGAGUCAAGAAAGAUGUGAUAACCUGCUUUUUGUUAGCUUAAACGGACUCUUUCUUAGCUGAGAGCUGUUCAGGCUUCAUGUUAGCUUCUUGAGCCAGACAGACUCCACCUUAGUGUAUUCGUUUUAGUUAUUCCC